rnacentral:misc_RNA from 1 species
AGAAACUUGUUUUAAUUUCUGCAGUUAAGGAGGUAGCUCUGGUAAUGAUUGACGCUGUUGCAGUUACUCAUGUCAGGCCAUCUCAGCUUAGAAACUUGUAUAAUUUCUGCAGAAUUCUGGUGAGAUGAUAGAGGCUUGGUUUGUCGAUUUCUAAAUUGCAGUCCACAUAAAGCUGUUUGUAACAUGUGAAUCAAUGGGGGGUCCAUACCAGAGUAAUUGAAAGUGGAGAACUUGUUGAGUUAAAAAAGUUGAGUGGAAGUCAAAAAGAAGAAAGCACAGCCCCGGGGAUGGGCAUGGUGUUU